rnacentral:rRNA from 1 species
GACGAACGCUGGCGGCGUGCUUAACACAUGCAAGUCGAGCGGUAAGGCCCUUUCGGGGGUACACGAGCGGCGAACGGGUGAGUAACACGUGGGUGACCUGCCCUCAGCUCUGGGAUAAGCCCGGGAAACUGGGUCUAAUACCGGAUAUGACUCCAUGACGCAUGUUGUGGGGUGGAAAGCCUUGUGCGGCUGAGGAUGGGCCCGCGGCCUAUCAGCUUGUUGGUGGGGUGAUGGCCACCAAGGCGACGACGGGUAGCCGGCCUGAGAGGGCGACCGGCCACACUGGGACUGAGACACGGCCCAGACUCCUACGGGAGGCAGCAGUGGGGAAUCUUGCGCAAUGGGCGAAAGCCUGACGCAGCGACGCCGCGUGAGGGAUGACGGCCU